rnacentral:rRNA from 1 species
UGGCGGACGGGUGAGUAACGCGUGAGCAACCUGCCCUUCGGAACGGGAUAGUGUCUGGAAACGGACAGUAAUACCGUAUAACGUAUUUUUACCGCAUGAUAGAAAUACCAAAACUGAGGUGCCGAAGGAUGGGCUCGCGUCUGAUUAGAUAGUUGGUGGGGUAACGGCCUACCAAGUCGACGAUCAGUAGCCAGACUGAGAGGUUGAACGGCCACAUUGGGACUGAGACACGGCCCAGACUCCUACGGGAGGCAGCAUG